rnacentral:lncRNA from 1 species
GAGGCUAUGAUAGCUGAUGAAGAAUUAUGUUCCUCUUAAAGGCAAUAAGAAAGGAACUGAAGAAAAAUGAAGACUCAUGUACUCACAAAAGACUACCGCUUGCUUUCUUCCUGCUUCGUUCUGAAUAUUGUCCAAAGAUCAAGAGUGAAUCACCGGGCUUGUCCACUGGGAAUGUAGCAAGGUCAUUGGGUGAGAUGUGGUCUGAGCAGACAGCCCAAGAUAGACCACCAUGUGAAGAGAAGGCAGCUGAACUAAAGGAAGAAUGAGAUACAGGAUAUUGCAUGCCUUAAGAGGGCAGAGGUGAUGCAAGAGAGAAGGGCCCUAGUGGGCCAGGAGGCUCAAUGAAGAAUGAAUAGAUGAAGAAGAGGAGGAAGAGAAGAAGGAGGAGGAGAAGAUGGAGGAGGAAGAGGAAAAGGAGGAUGUAGAAGAA